ACUUUCAAUUGGAGCUGCGCCCUGGGCUCGGGGUUUUCAAAUGGAGUGGCAGGUGCGAUGGUACAUAUACCUUGUGCCCCUGGCUGUUGAAACAUGGACAAGGUCGCCGAACAGCAUGUCACCCGGAGCGCCGCCGAAGACGAUCCAUCCAAGCAAUGCAGUGUGUGAUCUUCUGAUACCCUACAUUUAUGACUUUAAUUAAUUGUUCACUUUGAUCUUCGGGGAAUUGAUUAAUGUGAGCAAAGUUAUUCAUUUUUGUUUCGAAAUCAGCUUAGCAAACAUCAUCAACCGUUGCAAACUGGUGUUAAUUGCUGAGAAUCAUUUUGGUAAAUAAGGAAGUGUGCAAACUCUGGAGUAAGCUAGUAAUUUAAAAUAGUUCGCACCUUUCUAUGUAUAUGUAGACUGCGUUUGAAAAACCCGAUAAGCAAACCAGCCAGGAAAUAAUCGUCAUAAAAUGGUAUUUACAGUGCAUUUUCCUUCUUCUAAUAUUUCUGGCUGUUGAGGCACACCCGUUUCCCAAAUACCACACCAAAUCUGAUGGCUAUGUCACGAAUGUUAUCAAUUCAGAGGUGCAAAUUCUGGACAAUG